CAGGAACCUCUGAUGAUUAAUGUCCGUUUACUCCUGUUCAUCCUGUCAAGGCUGCUGCUGUUGGUUUGCAAAAGGAGUAUCAGGAAAUUAGACCUCUCGUCAUUGGUUUCCCUGUGCAAUCUCAGAAGUUUGGAUAAACAAAGAAUCAUUGUUUCAGAGGGAGAACCCCACCCCAACAUUAUAGGUCACCGCACGUCUGACAAAGUCAUACAAACCCAGAGUCUGCAGGAGUCAUGUGAUCAUUCCUGAGUGUUCGUAAGUAUGUCUUGGGAGGUGGUGGGCUGUUCACCGACUGUCAACCGCUCUGCUGCUAUUGUGCCCUGGUAUAGGUGCGUCUUGUGAGACCGGUGCAGAUGCUUCCUGUGGGAAAUGCCAGAGAAUAGCAGGAAGUGGGAUCAAGCCAGAGGCACUUUCCACAGCAACUCUUCAAAAAAACAGUGUUGGAGCAAGGGGGCUAAGGGCACCACAGGAAAUGGAAUUUAAAACAAAAGGAAGUUGAAUCACUAGCCAGCCAUGGUCGAGUAAGCGGAGGAUGAAGUCAUAGCGGUAGCAGUAUAUCUUUUACUCACCUAACCAUUGUAAAACCUAAUUUAGGAUAAUAAAUCUGUGGGAAAAAACAGAGAGAGAGCUGGGCUUGUCAACCACACGCCCAUGAUCAAAUUAUCAUGAUGUUAUGGAAUAUAAUCAGUUGCGAUGAGACAAUGGUGGCUGGCAUUGUACUUACACAAGCAGACUUUCAACACAAUAUAAAAAAUGAAUCCUUACCAAAAAAAAGUCUCAAUGUACCUUCAACACUCAAAAGGGGGAGGAGAGAAAUAUACAUAUACAUACACAAAACAAUGAAUUGUUUUCAUACUUUCAGACAGCUUCCUUAAAGCAGAGAAUAUUGUGUAUACAAAAAACCUUUUCAUUCAGAUUAUUCCCUCGGUUACUGUACAGUGUGUGUGAGGAACAUCUCUCAGCAAGUUUUCCUAUGGCAGCCAGUAAAUAUAUUUAGAUUUGCACAGAUGCCCUGCAUUUAAAUUCAGAAAUAAUGUGAUGAUGAAUUUUGCAAUCAGAAUUGUCCUAUAUGCUCUGAUAUCAGAUGCUUUCCGCUACUUUAAUCAGUAUUAUAUCUCCUUUGCACUAAACUUUUUGUGUGUAAAUUGUUUGCUAGUUCACUUGCAAGCGCAAUGGUGGAGUGUACUUGUUACUCAUGUAGUGGUUGUUCCAUGGGUGUAGGUGGUGCUGUAGUGAACUCCAAAUGGGGGCAACCCCUGAAAGGUAUUCACAUUCUUGAUUUGACAUUAGUCUCUUUAUAUUACCAGCAAGUCAACGUUAUCACUAAAUAAAUGCAACAGCCUUCUCUAUUC